UACAGAGGGUGCAAGCGUUGUCCGGAAUUAUUGGGCGUAAAGCGCGCGCAGGUGGUUUCUUAAGUCUGAUGUGAAAGCCCACGGCUCAACCGUGGAGGGUCAUUGGAAACUGGGGAACUUGAGUGCAGAAGAGGAAAGUGGAAUUCCAAGUGUAGCGGUGAAAUGCGUAGAGAUUUGGAGGAACACCAGUGGCGAAGGCGACUUUCUGGUCUGUAACUGACACUGAGGCGCGAAAGCGUGGGGAGCGAACAGG
rnacentral:rRNA from 1 species